AUGGAGUUGCCCGGGAGCCUGUGCAAGAAAGUGAAGCUGAGCAAUAAUGCACAGAAUUGGGGAAUGCAGAGAGCGACUAAUGUCACCUAUCAAGCUCACCACGUCAGCAGGAACAAGAGUGGUCAGGUUGUGGGGACCAGAGGUGGCUUUCGUGGCUGCACAGUUUGGCUAACAGGAUUAUCUGGAGCAGGGAAGACCACAGUGAGCAUGGCUUUGGAGGAAUACUUGGUUUGCCAUGGUAUCCCGUGCUACACUUUGGAUGGUGACAACAUUCGUCAAGGUCUCAAUAAAAAUCUUGGCUUUAGUCCUGAAGACAGAGAAGAGAAUGUCCGACGUGUUGCGGAAGUUGCUAAGCUGUUUGCAGAUGCUGGGCUAGUGUGCAUUACCAGUUUUAUAUCACCUUAUACUCAGGAUCGGAACAAUGCAAGGCAAAUUCAUGAAGGUGCAAGUUUACCAUUUUUUGAAGUAUUUGUUGAUGCUCCUUUGCAUGUUUGUGAACAGAGAGAUGUCAAAGGACUGUACAAAAAAGCAAGGACUGGAGAAAUAAAAGGUUUCAUUGGGAUUGAUUCUGAGUAUGAAAAACCAGAGGCUCCUGAACUGGUGCUGAAAACAGACUCCUGUGAUGUAAAUGAUUGUGUCCAGCAAGUUGUGGAGCUUCUACAAGAGCGGGACAUUGUACCAGUGAAUGCCUCUUUAUGAAGUAAAAGAACUGUAUGUGCCAGAAAAUAAACUUCAUUUGGCAAAAACAGAUGCUGAAACAUUACCAGCACUGAAAAUUAAUAAAGUGGACAUGCAGUGGGUGCAGGUGCUGGCGGAAGGUUGGGCAACCCCUCUGAAUGGCUUUAUGAGGGAGAGGGAGUACUUGCAGUGCCUUCAUUUCGAUUGUCUUCUAGAUGGGGGUGUCAUUAACUUGUCAGUGCCUAUAGUCCUGACAGCUACCCAGGAAGAUAAAGAGAGGCUGGAUGGCUGUACCGCGUUGGCUCUGGUGUACGAGGGCCGCCGUGUGGCGAUUCUUCGCAACCCUGAGUUUUUUGAGCACAGGAAAGAGGAGCGCUGUGCCAGGCAGUGGGGGACAACGUGCAAGAACCACCCCUACAUCGAGAUGGUCAUGGAACAAGGAGAUUGGCUCAUUGGAGGGGAUCUUCAAGUCCUGGACCGAAUUUGUUGGCAUGAUGGUCUUGAUCAGUACCGUCUUACUCCUACUGAGCUAAAGCAAAAGUUUAAGGAUAUGAAUGCUGAUGCUGUCUUUGCAUUUCAAUUGCGCAACCCAGUGCACAAUGGACACGCUCUGUUGAUGCAGGAUACCCAUAAGCAACUUCUAGAGAGGGGUUACCGGCGCCCUGUCCUCCUCCUUCACCCUCUUGGUGGCUGGACCAAGGAUGAUGAUGUUCCUUUGAUGUGGCUAUGAAGCAGCAUGCUGCAGUACUGGAGGAAGGAGUCCUGAAUCCUGAAACAACUGUGGUGGCCAUCUUCCCAUCUCCCAUGAUGUAUGCUGGGCCCACUGAGGUCCAGUGGCAUUGCAGAGCACGGAUGGUGGCAGGGGCCAAUUUUUACUUUGUUGGACGAGAUCCGGCCGGCAUGCCUCAUCCAGAAACUGGGAAGGAUCUUUAUGAGCCGAGUCAUGGUGCCAAAGUGCUGACAAUGGUCCCUGGUCUAAUCACCUUGGAAAUCGUUCCCUUUCGAGUUGCAGCUUACAACAAGAAAAAGAAGCGGAUGGACUACUAUGAUGCAGAACACCAUGAAGACUUUGAGUUUAUUUCCGGAACACGGAUGCGCAAACUUGCCCGAGAAGGCCAGAAACCUCCUGAAGGGUUCAUGGCCCCCAAGGCAUGGACGGUGCUGACAGAGUACUACACAUCCUUGGAGAAAGCUUAGGCCGAUCACUGCAGAGCUCCAGAGCUCUACAUUGGUUAAAAAAGAGGGACCACUCAUUCACUGUUGGGUUUGCUUUGUGGUGGUGUCUGUCUAGAAGUGCUUCUUAAAAAAAACAGAUCAUUGUCCUUAACUAACAUCAAUUUUUAUCUGCCUUAUGAGUUCUGUUUUGAACAAGUAUAACAAUAC